rnacentral:ncRNA from 1 species
GUGAAGACGAUGAAAGAGAGAGUAUAAAAGUGGAUACUGGUCAGCGAGUCAGGGAGGGUGGAAGCCUGAUACAGAAAUGCUUUUGGAAAAUCACUCUGGAGUUUCCAUUAUGAAGUAAAAGUAAUAAUGGACGUGUUAUUCACGUUACGAAUAUCGAGUGAAUUUAAAAUUUGACUAAUUUUGAAUUUAUAAGGGUGGUACCGCGAGUCUUCUCGUCCCUUUU